rnacentral:rRNA from 1 species
UACGGAGGGGGCUAGCGUUGUUCGGAAUUACUGGGCGUAAAGCGCGCGUAGGCGGCUUUGUAAGUUAGAGGUGAAAGCCCCGGAGCUCAACUCCGGAAUUGCCUUUAAGACUGCAUCGCUAGAAUCAUGGAGAGGUGAGUGGAAUUCCGAGUGUAGAGGUGAAAUUCGUAGAUAUUCGGAAGAACACCAGUGGCGAAGGCGACUCACUGGACAUGUAUUGACGCUGAGGUGCGAAAGCGUGGGGAGCAAACAGGG